UACAGAGGUGGCAAGCGUUGUUCGGAAUUACUGGGCGUAAAGGGCGCGUAGGCGGCCUACUAAGUCAGACGUGAAAUCCCCCGGCUUAACCUGGGAACUGCGUCUGAUACUGGAAGGCUUGAGGAUGGGAGAGGGAUGUAGAAUUCCAGGUGUAGCGGUGAAAUGCGUAGAUAUUGGGAGGAACACCAGUGGCGAAGGCGGCUUACUGGACCGGUUCUGACGCUGAGGCGCGAAAGCGUGGGGAGCAAACGGG
rnacentral:rRNA from 1 species